UGUUAGAUUCCCCCAGAAUUGGAGUUAGAGGGUUUUGAGCUGUCCUGUGGGUACAGGGAAUUGAACUUAAGCUUCUCUGGAAGAACAGCAAGUGCUGCUAACCAUUGAGCCAUCUUUCCAGCCCUAAUUGUGAUUUUAAAAAAAGCUUUUCUUUUUGUCCUGAGGUCACAUUCUUCUCAUUUGUUGCCAAUAAUGGAAAAGUGCCAUGUUUUUGACUAGCUAUGUGACUUUAAGGAACUGUUGUCAGGUGCAUAAUAUUUUAUUAUCAUUAUCAACAACAUCAUCAUCAUUAUUGGGACUGGGAGGGGGAGCAUGCAUGGGCCAGCUAAUGUAUGGGGGUCACAAAUCAACUUAGUGGCAUUGGCUCUCUCCAUCUACCUUUUGUGGCUCCGGGCACUGAACCCAGGCUGUCAGGUUUGGGCAGCAAGCACCUUUACCCCCUGAGAUGUCUCACCAGCUGCUGCUGCUUUCAUGUUUAGAACAGUCCUCAUCUUGCAGGGCCUCGUGGUACCUGCCUCUGAUCCCAGCAUUCAGGAAACAGAGGCAGGUGGAUUUCUGUGAGUUAGAGGCUAGCCUGGUCUACAUAGAGAGUUUGAAGCCAACCAGAGACAUAGUUGAGACCCUGUCUUAUGAAAGAAAAAGAAAACAGAGUCCUUAACCUUUGGAGAUGCAUACUGCAAUAUUUAUGUAGGAAAAGAUCUGAAGUGUAGGAGGAUUUGCUGUAAAGUAUUCCAGGAUCCAUAAACCCAGUAAGUAGACAACUGUUGGAAUUGGUAAUGAGUAUGUAGGAGUCCAUCACACUCUUGUACUUUUUUGGUAUUUUGUUUUGAGAUUGGGUCUCAUUAUGUAGCCUUGGCUGGCCUAGAACUUGGUAUAUGUAAUCCAGGCUGGCCUUCAAACUCUAACUCACAGAGAUUCAUCCGCCUCAGCCUCCUGAGUGCUGGGAUUAAAGGUGUGUAUCGCCAUGCUUGGCACCAUACUAUUGUCCUUUCAUUUAUGUUUUAAGUUCUCCAUGGUUAAAAAACCCUUAAAUUACAUGUUAUAGGUAGAAUAGAGUAUCUCUUAAUACAUAUGGUGGAUGAGAUGGACAGAAAGGCCCCAGGGUUGCAGGGAUAGAGAACCAUCAGGGAACAUGGGUGGGGUGGCUGCCAAAAGGCCCCUUAGAGGAGAGAGUGCCACAAACACCCACCACCAGCUUCCUGUCCCCAGGUGACCGUGGUCCGGAACUUGGAGACCUAUGGUCUUGAUCCAUGCUCAGUGGCCGCCACUCUCCAGCAGCGGUGCCAGGCCAGCACCAUCAUCUCUCCUGCCCCUGGGGCCAAAGACAGUCUGCAGGUGCAGAUCCAAGGAAACCAGAUCCACCACCUUGGCCGGCUAUUGCUCGAAGAGUAUCGGCUCCCUGGAAAAUACAUCCAAGGCCUAGAAAAGGCCCCCAAACCUGGCAAGAAGUGACAGACCCAUUUUAUGCAGUGGAUCCCAUGGGAACUCAGGUUCUGAGCUGGUAAUUGAUAUGAGCGUUUUCAACUUUUGCAAAUAAAAACUGUAAUUCUUUACUUAAA